rnacentral:rRNA from 1 species
CCUACGGGAGGCAGCAGUGGGGAAUAUUGCGCAAUGGGGGAAACCCUGACGCAGCAACGCCGCGUGAGUGAGGAAGGACUUCGGUCUGUAAAGCUCUGUUAAUGAGGAAAAAUGGUAGUUGGUCUAAUAGGCCGAUUAUUUGAUGGUACUCAUAGAGGAAGCACCGGCUAACUUCGUGCCAGCAGCCGCGGUAAUACGAAGGGUGCAAGCGUUGUUCGGAUUUAUUGGGCGUAAAGCGCGCGUAGGCGGACCCGCAAGUCAGAUGUGAAAUCUCGAGGCUCAACCUCGAAACUGCGUCUGAAACUACGGGUCUAGAAUCUCGGAGGGGGAAGGGGAAUUUCGCAUGUAGGGGUAAAAUCCGUAGAUAUGCGAAGGAACACCAGAGGCGAAGGCGCCUUCCUGGACGAGUAUUGACGCUGAGGCGCGAAAGCGUGGGGAUCAAACAGGAUUAGAUACCCUGGUAGUCCACGCUGUAAACGAUGAACACUAGGUAUUGGAGGAUUUGACCCCUUCAGUGCCGUAGCUAACGCGUUAAGUGUUCCGCCUGGGAAGUACGGUCGCAAGACUAAAACUCAAAGGAAUUGACGG